CUACGAAAAGGGCAAACCUGUCGAAAGGCAGGGGCGCAAAGCUUUGGGUCUAAAGCCCCGAUGGGCUAUGACUGCCAGGCUGCCAAU
rnacentral:ncRNA from 1 species